UACGUAGGGGGCUAGCGUUGUCCGGAAUCAUUGGGCGUAAAGGGCGCGUAGGCGGUCUGCUAAGUUGGAUGUGAAAACUCUGGGCUUAACCCAGAGCCUGCAUUCAAUACUGACAGGCUAGAGUUCUGGAGGGGAUAGCGGAAUUCCUGGUGUAGCGGUGAAAUGCGUAGAUAUCAGGAGGAACACCGGUGGCGAAGGCGGCUAUCUGGACAGAGUCUGACGCUGAGGCGCGAAAGCUAGGGGAGCAAACAGG
rnacentral:rRNA from 1 species